rnacentral:lncRNA from 1 species
UGUGCAUUGGGCUAUUCCAUUUAAUAUCCGUACCCCCCCUGUCGAGGAUACAUGUUUUUCAUAGUUAUACCCCUGAAGAAUUCCAAGCUCAAAAUCCUUUACCCCUGAAGAAUUCCAAGCUCAAAACACUCUACCCCUGAAGAAUUCCAAACUCAAAACACUUCACCCCUGAAGAAUUCCAAACUCUGAAAAAUUUCGAUCUCAAACCUCUUUACCCCUGAAGAAUUCCAAGCUCAAAACACUCUACCCCUGAAGAAUUCCAAACUCAAAACACCCUACCCCUGAAGAAUUCCAAGCUCAAAACACUGUACCCCUGACGAAUUCCAAGCUCAAAACACUUUACCCCUGAAGAAUUCCAAACUCUGAAAAAUUUCGAUCUCAAACCUCUUUACCCCUGAAGAAUUCCAAGCUCAAAAUCCUUUACCCCUGAAGAAUUCCAAACUCAAAACACUUUACCCCUGAAGAAUUCCAAGCUAAAAAUCCUUUACCCCUAAAGAAUUCCAAACUCAAAACACUCUACCCCUGAAGAAUUCCAAACUCAAAACACCCUACCCCUGAAGAAUUCCAAGCUCAAAACCCUUUACCCCUGAAGAAUUCCAAACUCAAAACACUCUACCCCUGAAGAAUUCCAAACUCAAAACACCCUACCCCUGAAGAAUUCCAAACUCAAAAUCCUUUACCCCUGAAGAAUUCCAAACUCAAAACACCCUACCCCUGAAGAAUUCCAAACUCAAAACACCCUACCCCUGAAGAAUUCCAAACUCAAAACACUUUACCCCUGAAGAAUUCCAAGCUCAAAAUCCUUUACCCCUGAAGAAUUCCAAACUCAAAACACCCUACCCCUGAAGAAUUCCAAACUCAAAACACCCUACCCCUGAAGAAUUCCAAACUCUGAAAAAUUUCGAUCUCAAACCUCUUUACCCCUGAAGAAUUCCAAGCUCAAAACACUCUACCCCUGAAGAAUUCCAAACUCAAAACACCCUACCCCUGAAGAAUUCCAAACUCAAAACACUUUACCCCUGAAGAAUUCCAAGCUCAAAAUCCUUUACCCCUGAAGAAUUCCAAGCUCAAAACACUCUACCCCUGAAGAAUUCCAAACUCAAAACACCCUACCCCUGAAGAAUUCCAAACUCAAAACACUUUACCCCUGAAGAAUUCCAAGCUCAAAAUCCUUUACCCCUGAAGAAUUCCAAACUCAAAACACCCUACCCCUGAAGAAUUUCAAGCUCAAAACACACUACCCCUGAAGAAUUCCAAGCUCAAAACACCCUACCCCUGAAGAAUUCCAAACUCAAAACACUUUACCCCUAAAGAAUUCCAAACUCAAAACACUCUACCCCUGAAGAAUUCCAAACUCAAAACCCUUCACCCCUGAAGAAUUCCAAACUCAAAACACUUUACCCCUGAAGAAUUCCAUAUAAUGAUUUAAUAACAGUGUAUCCACAGAGUGGCUCUUCAACCAUGGGCGUACGGGAAUUGAAAAAUUAUGGGGCGGAAAGAGAUUUGCCCUAUUUUUUUGGAUUGUGUCCGAGUUGUCAAAAGAAAAUUUUCAGAGAAACUUUCCAAAACUGUUGUCGGGGGGGGGGGAAUUCCUAUUACAUAGCAUAUUUCCUACAAGAUUGACAGAAUUUCCCACAAAAUUCACAGAAUUUGUCCCAUUUAUUUUUAUAAUAAGCCAAUAUUGCCCGACUGUUUGCCCAACAAACUGCCCCCCCCCCGCCCGGUUAGCCCAUGUCUUCAACUGCUAUAGAUUACAAAGUAAAGUUUAUCUCUAUGUUAUCUAAAAAGCAUAAGUUAAAAUAAUUAUGUUUAUAUUUACAGUUAUUGUCUACUUAUUAUGGUUUAUCUACUACAUAUUUGGAUAAUAAAUAUGUUCUUAGGC